AUUGAACGCUGGCGGAAUGCUUUACACAUGCAAGUCGAACGGUAGAGGGGGCAACCCCUCGAGAGUGGCGAACGGGUGAGUAAUAUAUCGGAACGUGCCCAGUCGUGGGGGAUAACGUAGCGAAAGUUACGCUAAUACCGCAUACGAUCUAAGGAUGAAAGCGGGGGAUGGCAAGACCUCGCGCGAUUGGAGCGGCCGAUAUCAGAUUAGGUAGUUGGUGGGGUAAAGGCUCACCAAGCCAACGAUCUGUAGCUGGUCUGAGAGGACGACCAGCCACACUGGAACCGAGACACGGUCCAGACUCCUACGGGAGGCAGCAGAGGGGAAUUUUGGACAAUGGACGCAAGUCUGAUCCAGCCAUUCCGCGUGCAGGAUGAAGGCCCUCGGGUUGUAAACUGCUUUUGUACGGAACGAAAAGGUCUCUCUUAAUACGGGGGACUCAUGACGGUACCGUAAGAAUAAGCACCGGCUAACUACGUGCCAGCCGCCGCGGUAA
rnacentral:rRNA from 1 species